AUACUACUCUCCUCCUCCAAAUUCACCAUGUUCUCAAGGUGGAAAUCUGAAAAUUGUUGAUGAAAAUCAUUGCAAUUCUCCCAUGUUGCUUCAUAUAGAGAUGUAAUAGCUGACAUGACCAUGACAGAGAUGAAAAGAAAAUUAAUCUCUUCACGAAAGUUGUUGAGGAGCGAGUCCACAAAAUCACACCCUUCAGGAAUCAAAUGCAAGCCAUGAAACUGCCGAGUCAAGCCAAAUUUAUGUUGUCAAAGCUAGUGAAAGGGAAUAAUGUGGUGCAGAAAAAUCAAUUGCAACAACAAUCAACUUCUGUUGCAUCCCUGUUAGUACAACAACUGAGGACAUGAUCAUAAACUCCACCAGAGCAUAGUAUGAAGGUAUGUCUCAUAUUUAUUUUAUGUACUCCAAGUUGUAUACAAAAAGAAUUGACAACUUGAGAAUGUCACUUGGUUGCCAACCUCCAAAGCAACAGUUUGUUGGAAAUGGUAAUUUAAACCAAAACAUUGUUAAUUUUA